UUUCUAUUUCUUUUGAUUUUAAUAUCUUUAAAUUUUUUUUAUAACUUCCAAUAACUUCUUUAAAUGGUGUAGUGCUUUAUAUUUGUCAUUCCCAAAACUCUUUCAAUCCUCACGUGAAAUCAAAAGGAGUCCCUAUUGUCAAAAAAUAUUUCAGAUGUGAAGGGAUUCUUUCUUCAACAAUCUCAUCAUUACUCAUUGAAUAUUCCAUGAAUGCAAUCUUUCUUCUUCCCCAUUGUUCUAAUUUGAAAAGUUGAAAGAAUGGAACACGUGUAAACAUCAGAUUUUGCAUGGAAACUCAACCAUCAUGCCCUUUUAUUCUUCCCCUUCUAUAUAUUCUAUUCUAAUUCAUACGUUCCUUAUACUGCUUUCCCAUAUCCCUCAAAUUCUUCUUUGGUUCCAAACUUUUCUAUGGAUCCAGUAAAUCAUCAAAACCUCCAUUACAAGAGUUUCUUCCCUGUUCAUAGUCGCUAUUUAGAAAGGGAAGGUGAACUGAGUCGUGCGUAUGUGAGGCUUAACAGGAACAAGUUAAAGCCACAAUGGGUUUUGAUUGAUGAUGGGGGAAGCAGCAUAUUGUGGGAUAUAACAUGAAUGAAGAAAGGCCUCGCCUAACCACUGGUUGGUAUGAAUUGAGGCAAUACUAUAACCUGGAGGGGAAGUGCAUCAUUUGGUUCCAUGAGGUUGAUGAUUCCAUUUUCCACAUUGAUGUUCGUGAUCAAAACCAUAGAGAAAUUCAAGUUCCUGGAGGUCCUCCUCCAAUAGAUUGGGGCGUGAAUGAUGAUAUUGAUGCUCUUGGUGUUCUUGAUUUUUAUCCUGAAUUUAGGUUUUUCAUGUCAAUCUUAUCAAGGCUCUCCUCCUCUAUAUCAGAGAAAUCCUUCAUCUAUUCCUCCUCCUGUUUCUGAUCCUCUUAAUUUCUCUGACGAUGAUCAAAAUUUUGUUCAAGAGGGUGACAUGCAUCUUGAUGUUCCUAAACAAAAUGUUGUUCAAGAAGCAAUCUUUGAAUGUGAAUUUUAUACUCAGAUCACUCACGAGUUUUACUCAUCAAAUCAAGUUCCUGUUCCCCAAAAUGCUGCUUCAUAUCUCAAAGAAGUUAGGGUUGAUAAGUGGGUUUUGCAUGAAAAGGGUUGAAGAUACUUAUAGUCGAUGACAAAGGAGUAGUAUCUAAUUGUACUCGGAAUGUCAUGUAUGAAGAAGUAUUCCAGAACAUAUGAAUGGUUAGAUUAUCUAUCUUAGAUUUUAUACUUCUUUGUAUCAUGCACAUUGUAAGUAGCCGUGAAAUAUAUUUUUAUGUCUUAUUUAAACCAUUUUCCAAAUUUUUGCA